AGUGCCCUAGGAAUACAAGUCAGCCGGUGUUAAUGAAGCUGCAGUCAGGGUUCCCAACUAUCCAGGUCAGCUUUGCUCCACCUAGAAGAAACCCUGUCUCUGUCCACCAACAGAAACCUCAAAAAGCAGCUCUGGCCAUGUUGCAGAAGGAUGCACACUCUCUUGAACAAGCUGAAGGCAGCCAGUCAGUGCAGCCAUCCCUUCAGCUUGUGGACUGCAAUGUGCAAAGGAUGGAAAGGAUGCUGUGGACUCAAACUGCUGAGGAGCCUGCAGGCUCACCACGAGAAUGGAGGGAAGCCUGGGAACAAAGUCCCCUUGCUGGAAGCAUGGCUAUCAGGUCACCUGACUCAGUGAUGGGAGGCAAGGACUUGGGGUCCAGUGCUCGAGCUGCCUCUCCUGUCUUCACCGAGGAGGCAGGACAGAUCCAGUUUGGGCAGGAUGUAUAAGAUUUGGACACAUGGAAAAGAUGGAGGUGGCAAGAAAAAAAGGCAGGUUGAGAUGUUGAGAACAUCCACUCAACACCAUCUCUGGGGGAGUGUCAUCUUAAAGGCUGUCUCAAAGAAGGGCCAAAGGAUUCCAUUCCGAGUCAUCCAGCAGAGACGAGCGGGCUGGCAGCCUACAGGGAGCGGCCGGAG
rnacentral:lncRNA from 1 species